UGUACUCUCACAAUGACGUGGUUCUG
rnacentral:piRNA from 1 species